CCGAGUUUACAACUCCCAAACCCUGUGAACAUACCACUUGUUGCCUCGGCGGAUCAGCCCGCUCCCGGUAAAACGGGACGGCCCGCCAGAGGACCCCUAAACUCUGUUUCUAUAUGUAACUUCUGAGUAAAACCAUAAAUAAGUCA
rnacentral:misc_RNA from 1 species